UACGUAGGUCCCAAGCGUUAUCCGGAUUCACUGGGCGUAAAGCGUCCGCAGCCGGCUUUAUAAGUCCGUUUUCAAAUACCGGGGCUCAACCUCGGAAAGGGAACGGAUACUGUAAAGCUAGAGAAAUGUAGAGGAGAGUAGAAUUUCAGGUGGAGGGGUGAAAUCCGUUGAUAUCUGAAGGAAUACCGAAAGCGAAGGCAGCUCUCUAUACAUUUUCUGACGGUCAGGGACGAAAGCAUGGGUAGCAAACGGG
rnacentral:rRNA from 1 species